UUACAAUGACAAAUUUUACAUUUGAAAAAUGUUGAUCAUUUUAAUAGUGACAAAUCAUUAAGACAGUUGCUUUGCAGAUGUGUUGCAUCAGAAAGGUACUUGGAAUCAAUGUAUCUAAUUCAAUUGCACUGAAAGUUCACUCCAGCAUGGGAGUGAAUCACUUCUCUAGUUCAAACACAGCUUCAUGUGUUCACUUAAGGGUCCCAUUCUCUCAUAAUCGUAAACUGGAGUUACUUCCUGAUUUACACUAGUGAAAGUAAAGUUAGACUGAAGGCCAAAGAUGCUAAUGCUGGAACUGGUGGUUGGUACUGAACUGAAUGGAGAACCAAGAUCAAGAGGGAAUGACUGAAAAUACCAGGUUUGAGACUCAUAGACUGAAAGAUCCACUUGAUUGUCACAAUUCUGGAUAUAAGCCCCUAUCCAAAAGGUGUAUUAAUUCCCAUUCAAGUUUGUUCAGUAUAGUGGGGAGGAAAGACCCAGGGCUAGUCCACACUAACCCCCCACUUCGAACUAAGAUACGCAACUUCAGCUACGUGAAUAACGUAUUUUAGUUCGAACUUACUGCGGGUCCACACGCGGCAGGCAGGCUCCCCCGUCGACUCCGCAUACUCCUCUCGCCGAGCAGGAGUACCGGCUUCGACGGCGAGCACUUCCGGGAUCGAUCCGGGAUCGAUUUAUCGCAUCUAGACAAGACGCGAUAAAUCGAUCCCAGAAGAUCGAUUGCUUACCGCCAGACCCGGAGGUAAGUAUAGACGUACCCCAAGAGGCAUUGAAGAAUCUGUCAGCAUUUAGAGAGUUUUCUCCCUCAUAACAGACUUGAACUGCACAUGCAUCACCUAUCUACAGAGCUGCAUUUCCAAUAAUGUGCUAACCAUCUCUCUAGCUCCUAACUUUUGCUGUCAACUGGAGUAUCCAUAUGAACAGUAUUCAGAAAAAGGAUAUUAGGUGAGCUAUUUAUUCUGCACUGGCUCGCAGCAACUGAACAGGCAUCAAAAGCAAAUUUGGGUCAAUCUGAUAUGGAGUGUUAAUUGAUUUUUGAAUCAAAAGCAUGAUUAAAAUUUGUAUUACAAAACCUAAACAUGUUAGUAUGUUUGUUAGUGUUGUAUUAGCAUACAUCAUAUAUGCAAAACUGGCUUAUGACAUUCAUAAGCUUGCCUUUUAAUUUUUUUAAGGUAUUAGUUUAAAAAGGAACCAGUUACAGCUUUUCUCUCUCUCUCUCUCUCUAUAUAUAUACACACUCAUAUAUUACCAGAGAAGUAGAGCAAUGAAUGUUACUUAUAAAUUGCACACACAGCAAAGCAGAUAAAAUUAAAAUAAAAUGAAGAUGUGCAUUUUAUCUGUUUUUCUU
rnacentral:lncRNA from 1 species